rnacentral:ribozyme from 11 species
AUGUAGACAGACAGACGAAAAGAAAAUAAUAACAGAAAAAGCAGAAGUGGCGGAAGCCAGCCAGCACAUCGACAGACUAACAAUGUCUCUCUGUCAAACUUUCUUUUGUCCUUCCAUUGCUCCUCUUCUUCCUUACUAGCAUUAUUCCUUAGUC